ensembl:lncRNA
CUGGAAUUGUUUCCUUACCAUUAAGCAAGAAAAGACCCUCAAAAGGCCAUUCCGUGAUACACUCCCACCCCCAAACUCCUGUAUUUUACACAAUUUUGUUUCCUAUCACAGGAAGAAGGGAGUGCUCAACUUGGCGAGGGGAACUGAGGAGGGCUGCAGUAUCUUUAAAGAUGUGGAAACUGAGAUAACAGUUAAGUGAGCUGCCCAUGGCUAUGUGACUAUAAGUAUUAGAGCACAGAUUCAAAUUUGUCCUGCUUCAAAGUCAAAAGUUCUUCCAGAAAGGGAACACAGACUUCCACCUGGAAUAGAAGAAGUGUUCCAUUAAAAGAGGACCCUACUGCCAUAGAAAACCCUGGAUCUAUGAAGACAUCAAAGACAGAGACCUAAUUUUUCCUCUCAAAAAAUGAACCUUGAUUUCCAUUCAAUAUUGAAUUUGAUGUUUAAAAAUUCUGAAGUAUGUCAGAGCUGAAGUUUAUCUAUGCUAUUUUGUACUGGAUACAUCUACUAGUGUGACAAAUUAGAUGUUUUCCCAGAGUAGCAGUUGUCUGAAUUCAUCUGCAGGAAGGAUACAUACAGGAGGUCCUGGUGAGGAACACAGAACUAAUAAGCUACCACCAACCAGAAGAGUUCGGGAAAGGUCAAAAGGAGACACCACAUGUCUGACCACCUCCCAGAAUCCUCCCUGGCAUCCAUCUUGGCUGAACAAGGUGUGCACCACCAGGAAGGACCCUGAGUGGGAAUGAUUGGCUAAAGACAACCCGGAAAC